rnacentral:rRNA from 1 species
GGCUUAUUGAAGGUUAAUUUUAAGUCUUGCCUGCCCAAUGAUUGUUUAAUGGCCGCAGUAAAUUGACUGUGCUAAGGUAGCAUAAUCAUUUGUUUUUUAAUUGAAAGCUUGUAUGAAAGGUUUUAUAAGAAAAUAACUGUCUCUUUUAUAUAAUUAAAAAUUUAUUUUUAAGUUAAAAAGCUUAAAUUUAGUUAAAAGACGAGAAGACCCUAUAGAAUUUUAUAUAAAUUAUUUUUAAUUUAUUAGAAUAUAAUUUUUAACUUUAAAUUUAUAUUUGAUUGGGGUGAUUAGAAAAAUAAAGUAUCUUUUCUUUAUUAUAACAUUAAUUUAUGAUUGAUUGAUUCAUUUAAAUGAUUUAAGAUUAAAUUACCUUAGGGAUAACAGCGUUAUUUUUUUUUAUAGUUCAAAUUAAAAAAAAAGAUUGCGACCUCGAUGUUGGAUUAAAAUUUUUAUUUGGUGUAGUAGCUAAAUUAUUAAGUCUGUUCGACUUUUAAAAUUUUACA